GGAUCGGUGGCCGAGUGGUCGAAGGCGCACGCCUGGAAAGUGUGUAGGGGUUAACGCCCCUCGAGGGUUCGAAUCCCUCUCGAUCCU
rnacentral:tRNA from 1 species